UUUCCGUAGGUGAAGGUUUGCCUACUAUGCCCCGCAGCGACUCUAAAGAAUUGCCUAUUAGUCCGCUCAAACAAUUCGCGGGCAACGCUAUCAAUCUGCGCUGGGAGAUCCUCUAAUAGAGGCUCAACCAGCAGCCCUAGAGGCCUCUCUAGGGUUCACAGAUCAAACCAUGGCGGCCAUAGUCUUUGGUUUAGAUAUGAUCGGCCCCAGCCGCUCCGCGGCUGGCGAAUUUUUUGCGGAACCUGCGGAAGGAUCAUUA
rnacentral:rRNA from 1 species